UUAUGUUCUCCCACUUGUUAUUUCUCUUAGAUAAAGUACUUCAAUAGUUACUGGAACGUGGAACAAGAAAGCGAGAAUGAGUCAAAUCUGAUGCUCUUUGGAAAGAUGAGGUCAAGGGAGGUGAUUCUGUUCCUCUACUCUGCUCUCGUGAGACCCCUCCUGGAGUACUGUGUCCAGUUCCAGGGCUCCCAACACAAGAAGGAUAUGGAGAGGUUGGAGCAGGUCCAGAGGAGGGCCAAGAAGAUGAUCAGAGGUAUGGAGCACCUACCCUAUCAGAACAGGCUGAGACACCUGGAGCUCUUCAGCCUAGAGAAGAGAAGGCUCUGGGGAGACCUUAUAGCAGCCUUCCAGUACCUGAAGGGGCCUACAGGAAAGCUGGGGAGGAACUUUUUAUAAGGGUAUGUACUGAUCGAAUGAGGGGAAAUGGUUUUAAACUGUAAGAGAGUAGAUUUAGAGUAGAUAUUAGGAAGAAAUUCUUCACUGUGAGGGUGGUGAGUCACUGGAACAGGUUGCCCAGUGAGGUUGUGAAUGCCCCCUCUCUGGAAGCAUUCAAGGCCAGGCUGGAUAGGAAUUUGAGCAACCUAGUCUAGAGUCUAUUUGAGCAACCCAGUCUGUCCCUGCCUAUGGCAGAAGGGUUGGCACUAAAGGUCCCUUCCAACCCAAAUCAUUGGUUCUAUGAUUCUAUGAUUCUGUGACUGUUAUUAGGAAAUGACUAUAUAAGCUGAGUCUUUUUAAUUUGGACAUAUGCUCUGCAGUGCCAUCUACAGUAUUUUGGUCAAGACUGAGCAACUUAACUGGAAAUCUUGCAUUUUGCUCUAUAAAGGAAGGAUAAAGCAGAAAGUGAGCAUAUAUCAAUAUUGAACAAACUUUACAAGGCCGAAUAAUAAAUUAGCUGGAGAUCUAUGGACGCUCUAUUGACAACUGAGCUUUGAAAUCACUUUGAAAAUAAUUUUUAAAAUUGUUUAGCCAGUAAUGAUUAGAACAUAACCAUUAUAUAUUCACUUACCUGCUUACUAUUUUGGAAAAGUUUCACAAG
rnacentral:lncRNA from 1 species